rnacentral:rRNA from 1 species
GUGGAUGCCUUAGGUUCAUAUGCACAAUGGGCGCUUUACGAUGCGAAACGUUGUAUCUGAGACAUCAUUCUGAUAGGUACAAAUCCCCACAGCGGUAAACCGCAAUAUUUUGACACGAGGAGAACUGAAACAUCUAAAUAUCCUCUAGGAAAAGAAAUCAACCGAGAUUCCGUUAGUAUUGGCGAAAGAACGCGGACAAGGCAUAUGAUUAUGAAAUUGAAAAACAUGUUGGAAUACAUAGACCAAAGAAGGUAAAAGUCCUGUAUUAUGCCUUUCAUAAUCAUCAAGAGUAGAACGUUAGACUGUUUGAAAAUAGGAGAACCACCUUCUAAGCCUACAUAUGCAUAUGAGACCGAUAGUGAACAAGUACUGUGAAGGAAAGGUGAAAAGAACCCUCUUGUAUAGGGAGUGAAAAGAUCUGAAACAAAAUACAUACAAUCAAUCGAUAUAUUAAAAAAAUGUAUCGGUGUACCUUUUGCAUAAUGGGUCAGCGACUAAAUGUGUGCAGCUUGCUUAAGCAACGAUGUGGAGGCAAAGCAAAAGCGAG